GGUGAGGUGGGUGAGAGGCUGAAACCACCAGUUUGCUAAACUGACGUACUGGAAACGGUACCGCGGGUUCGAAUCCCGCCCUCACCG
rnacentral:tRNA from 1 species